AUUGUAAACAACGAACAAAUGUAAACAAACGGCUUAUGUCAAAAUCGCCCUACUUUUUUCAUAAGUGCGAUUAUAACGGGCCACUCUUCUGCUGUCGUGAUCUUGUCUUUUUGGUUCAUGACAGUAACCCAUAACAAACAAUUGAAUUUGUGAGUGCCGGCUGAUCUCUGGGCUAAGGUGAAAUGCAGAGACAAAUGUCUCGUUAUUUCAGCGAAAAACUACUUGGUUCUGUGGCAUCGAGCGAGAGUAAUGAAUGGUGUGUUGAUACUAACGCUGGCAUUUUCUAUGCAGAUGACUAGACUUGCUUGCUUUCCAUCUGUUUUAAAUGAAUUUUUCGUGCAAAAUAGUCAUCCUUUGGAGAAAAAGCAUUUACUUAAAAAAUCAGUCGAAGAAGAAUAUCGUAACUGGACAUCGAUGUCAAAUGGCUACGACAAUAAAUCAUAUUAUGUGGCCUAGAGCAAGAUCACUUUUCCUUUGUUUUCUUUUCAAUAUGAUUUGGGAAACGGAGACCGUCAAUACAGUGGCAUAUAUGUAUAAUCUUGGAGGACAUUAGUGCACGCGCUUUUUCAGCACCGACUGUUUCUACAAUGAAUUCCCCAAUGCACCUGCAACUUAGUUUGCCAAUCGCGCCCUCAAUAGUAGCAGGUAAUGUGGUGGGUGCUGUUGUGAAGGGUUAUUCAUUGACACCACAAAAAGAGAUACAAAACUACAUCAAUGCUGUUGGCAUAAUACUCGCUGCUCUGCUUAAGAAAUAUUGGAAUGCAAAUGAACACCAUGGUGAGCCGCUGAUAUGUGUCUUCAGUUGGUGCUGCCUUGAGUAAAAACUGUGAAGAAUCGCUGCAAGAAAUUAUGUAAGACAAUGCAGACAAAUUGGCGUCACUUACUAACGAGGAAACAGCGGAAACAAAGAUGAGGAAUUUGCAGGAUUGCAUAUAAUAUUUGGCUAAAUAUCGGCAUUGAAAGCACAAAGAUCACAACGAAAAACAACCACGCCAAAGAGGAGUUUUAUGUGCCUAGUCAAGCAUUUUUAACAUCGCUAAUACAAAUUUUCCCAGCCAUUUUCUAGCACAUACAACAAAGAUUUAUUUAAUCUGUCUUUGUGCUGAGGAAUGGGGUCUGCAUACCCGUGCAAACUGAUGCCGUUCCCUAUAUAAUGUUGUCUCUGUCGGAUUCAUUGCUAACGCCAUUAAACGAUGGCAUACUCGAUUGUAUGGAUCUCAUACAAAAGUUUAUUGGUAACAACUGCGGGGGUAAAUGAGUCAUUGAAUUCGAAUGUCUUCACUGGGCGCUUGGCGGUUACUGCUUUACUACAUCGAUUCCAAGAAGUUUUGAAGCGUUCCAAUGACGACGAACGGCUGAUGGGCGCCGUGCAAGGGUCACAGUAGCUCAUUCCGGGGUAUUGAUCGUAAUUAUCAGUGAAGUGCACGGCUUCCAAAUGCGCAUUAAGUCAAUUCAAGAACCAGUUUGAUAACAAAGAAGUAUCAUACCACAACAUUACCGGCACCCUGACUCUUAUUAAAUAAGUACCAAAUAAGUAAAGACAUAUCGUCUACCCGAUAUUACUUACAGUGGUCCACGAAAUAAUAGGAAUGCGAUAUUUUAACAACUAUUACUACACUUUUCGAAAUUUAAAAAGUUAAAUACGGCAUUAAUUGUAAUUCUUUCCUGUAAAUUUGUUGGGGAAAGAAAAAACAACAAAAAAAGCGAAAGUAAUGCCGAAGUUAACUUAUACUAUUUCGGAAAAUUUAGUGCUAACUUGACACACGUAAUAACAUGGUUCUUUUGAGUCACAACAAAAUUGUAUUCAACUAUCAAUCAUGAUCAAAAUAAAUUUUUAUAUGGAAGAAAAUGCACAA